rnacentral:rRNA from 1 species
GACGAACGCUGGCGGCGUGCUUAACACAUGCAAGUCGAACGGAAAGGCCCUGCUUUUGUGGGGUGCUCGAGUGGCGAACGGGUGAGUAACACGUGAGUAACCUGCCCUUGACUUUGGUAUAACUUCAGGUAACUGGGGCUAAUACCGUAUAGGAUCUCCUGCUGCAUGGUGGGGGUUGGAAAGUUUCGGCGGUUGGGGAUGGACUCGCGGCUUAUCAGCUUGUUGGUGGGGUAGUUGCUUACCAAGGCUUUGACGGGUAGCCGGCCUGGGAGGGUGACCGGCCACAUGGGGACUGAGAUACGGCCCAGACGGCAACGGGGGGCAGCAGUGGGGAGUAUUGCACAAUGGGCGGAAGCCGGAUGAAGAAACGCCGGGUGCGGGAUGACGGCCUUCGGGUAGUAAACAGCUUUAGCCUGUGACGAAGCGUGAGUGACGGUAAUGGGUAAAGAAGCACCGGCUAACUACGU